GACGAACGCUGGCGGCGUGCUUAACACAUGCAAGUCGAACGGUAAGGCCCUUCGGGGUACACGAGUGGCGAACGGGUGAGUAACACGUGGGUGAUCUGCCCUGCACUUCGGGAUAAGCCUGGGAAACUGGGUCUAAUACCGGAUAGGACCACUGCCUGCAUGGGUGGUGGUGGAAAGCUUUUGCGGUGUGGGAUGGGCCCGCGGCCUAUCAGCUUGUUGGUGGGGUAAUGGCCUACCAAGGCGACGACGGGUAGCCGGCCCGAGAGGGUGACCGGCCACACUGGGACUGAGAUACGGCCCAGACUCCGACAGGAGGCAGCAGUGGGGAAUAUUGCACAAUGGGCGCAAGCCUGAUGCAGCGACGCCGCGUGAGGGAUGACGGCCUUCGGGUUGUAAACCUCUUUCAGUAGGGACGAAGCGCAAGUGACGGUACCUACAGAAGAAGGACCGGCCGACUACGUGCCAGCAGCCGCAGUAA
rnacentral:rRNA from 1 species